rnacentral:rRNA from 1 species
GACGCACGCUGGCGGCGUGCCUAAUACAUGCAAGUCGAGCGAAGCGGCGGAUGGGUGAGUAACGCGUGGGUAACCUGCACUUAAGUGUGGGAUACCAUAUGACAACAGAUGCUGAUACCGGAUACUAAAGAAUGGACCUGCGAUGCAUUAGCUAGUGGGUAAGUUAACGGUUUACCAAGGCGAUGAUGCAUAGCCUAGUUGAGAGACGGAUCGGCCACAUUGGGACGGAGACACGGCCCAAACUCCUACGGGAGGCAGCAGUAGGGAAUCUUCCACAAUGGACGAAAGUCUGAUGGAGCAACGCCGCGUGAGUGAAGAAGGUUUUCGGAUCGUAAAGCUCUGUUGUUGGUGAAGCGGUAAUCAACCAGAAAGUCACGGCUAACUACGUGCCAGCAGCCGCGGUAAUAC